ensembl:lncRNA
GUACAACCCAACAGGCCCCAAACUGACUUGGCAGCAACUAAAAAUGAUAUAUAAAUGUAGUUCAAACAGCCAACAGAAAAAAGGCAGAGGCACGCAAAACAGGUGGCGGUCCACCACCACCACCUCUCACAGAGGCUGAAGAGAUGGCAUCUCUGGGGGGAGCUCAUCGGACCCAGCCACGCCCCAGGACACAGGGGCCUACAUAAGAGUUACUGAUGAUGGUGUAAUCUGUCUCGUGGAGCCUUCUGCCAUAACACACCUCCAUACUGUUGAUGAUGUUGAAGACACCUUAUCAGCUGCCACAGAGAGGGAAGUAAUAACUUUGGUUUCAGUUAAUUGUUCCACAAUACAACUUGCAACUGCUUUCUCUCUAACAGAGCAAUGCCGGAAGUUACAAUGAGGAAGAAGCUCCCUGUGAAACAACUUUACAAAGUAUAUUUAGAAUCCCAAAUAAACAAAUCACACCUAGAAAUGGAGCACAUAAGGCUGCAGAUCACCAAAACAAAAAAGGAAAUACAACUGCUGGACCAUCAGUUAAAGGUGGGUGACGUGCCCACAGGGGGAUGUUUUUUAAUUGUUUCAACAACAAAGGAUUAACAACUGUACAACAUUUGCC